rnacentral:rRNA from 1 species
GGAUGUGAUCAUACCAGCAGUAAAGCACAGGAUCCCAUCAGAACUCUGAAGUUAAGUGUGCUUGGGCGAGAGUAGUACUAGGAUGGGUGACCUCCUGGGAAGUCCUCGUGUUCCAUUCC